CGCGUAGGUGGUUUGAUAAGGGUGUGGUGAAAGUCCGGGGCUCAACCCCCGGAUCUGCCGUGCCGACUGUCAAACUCGAGGACUGUAGAGGCAGACGGAAUUCCGGGUGUAGCGGUGGAAUGCGUAGAGAUCCGGAGGAAGACCGGUGGCGAAGGCGGUCUGCUGGGCAGUUUCUGACACUGAGGCGCGACAGCGUGGGGAGCAAAC
rnacentral:rRNA from 1 species